UACGUAGGGUGCAAGCGUUGUCCGGAAUCAUUGGGCGUAAAGCGCGCGUAGGCGGCCCGAUAAGUCCGCUGUGAAAGUCAAAGGCUCAACCUUUGAAUGCCGGUGGAUACUGUCGGGCUAGAGUCCGGAAGAGGCGAGUGGAACUCCUGGUGUAGCGGUGGAAUGCGCAGAUAUCAGGAAGAACACCGAUAGCGAAGGCAGCUCGCUGGGACGGUACUGACGCUGAGGCGCGAAAGCGUGGGGAGCGAACAGG
rnacentral:rRNA from 1 species